GUAAGCCUUUGCAUUUUCAUUAUUAGCUAAUUAGUCUUAUGUGUAUUAUAGCAAACCAAACAGCAUGCUAGAGAAGUGCUCACUGAAUACAUGUUUUGUGCAUGAAUGUUAGGUGUAAUUACGCUUGACAUUUAUGUUUAGGCUAUAACGUGGCUCAAGUACUUUUACUGUAUACUGUUUCACCAUCAGCAGCUUUUUUAUUAAUAUCAUGUAACAACCAUAUAUUCCCGUUCUCUCUUCAGAUGCACUUUUGAAAUGUUUGAACCCCACCCCUGCAAAUCCUGGGCUACCUGCAGACACCUUCACUACCUCAGCACAGCCCAUCGAUGCAGCAUCAGGUGUGCUCACUCAAAAGUCCAGUGAUUGUGAACGUGGCAGAGUGUGUAAGUUCUGGGGAGUGAGGUCCAUGUUUAUAGGCCGAGGUGUGUGUUGGGAAGUGAAGCUUGCUGACUGGGUUGCCCUGACAAUGGAGCAGCAAUUUGCAUUGUAUUAAUGUACUGUAGGUAGCCCAGGGAGAGUUUAUUUCUGUAGUUUCUGUCAGUAAUGGACAUUAGAUUAAUAGUAACAUGUUUUACCAUUGUAUUUAUCAAAUAAUGUUCCAGUAAUGGUAGUCCAGUCAUACUUUUACUGCUAUGCUCAAUAAUAAAGUUUUUUUUUGUUGUUGUUGUCAUUUUAGUCCAUUCAGUUCCAUUCAAACAAUUCAGUUGCAUGGUUUGCCCAAAUUUGCAACCUGAUAAAGCAG
ensembl:lncRNA